ACGUCUACAUACGGGAUCUAGAUCCAAGUUCAACGCUUUUCGCUAGAGACUCUCGGGGAGAAGACAUCAAAGUGAGUUCACGGCUCAAGUCUUCGCUUCCUCGUGUUUCACCAUUAAGCCUCAGACGAAAAACAAUCUUGAGGAAAUAAAGACACAACCCAGAGAGCGAUUAAAGUCCGCACAGACGUACUUGCGCGUACAAGGAGAGCAACUUUUGUCGUGGCGAACUAACGACGUAACGGAAAAGUUGUUCUGGCCACCGGAAUCGGCACUGAUGUUCAUGCGAGGAAACUUCAGCAUACUGGUGACAGUUCAAAGUGCACAGGGUGCACGGGACGAUUCUUCUUACAACAGAAGACCGAAGUCAUAGACUCAUAGUCAUAGAACACUAUUUCUUCUGAGCGUCGAGAGAGUUCUUCAUACGGCGAGAGCCAUUGGGCGAAAGGAAGUGACAGUUUUAUGUGUCCAAACACUCCACACAGCAAAGGCGCUUAGGUGAAGCUAAGUGGCGUGUGUUGUUGUACGGGAAAAGUGGUUGUGCAGUGUUGUGAGUGUGGCAGUUAAGAAUAGAUUUGACUCAUUAGUUACCUUUAGAAUUAAACAGUAUAGUAAGUGUUAACGGGACAACCUAGAUAAUUAGCCGAGUUAGGGAACCAAGUCAUUUCUAAACUUGCCUGUUCUUGUUGUAUUCCCUUUAUCAUUUAGUUAUUUUAAUAAUCUUCUCGUUGAUUAAUAAUAAUCUUCUCAAAUAUACUAAAUUGCCUCGAGUUGUUAUUUGAGGUGAUGCAUGGUGGGGGCUCCACAAGUUAAUUAAAAAGUGUAAAUCAGCAAUUUAGCAUAGAUGCAUGCUGUAAAUGUCGAUUUGUGAUUUGAUGGCGGUAGCGACAGUGUGUUAGGCCUGGGGGCAACGGAAAUCAUACCUCUACCAUCUCCACGGGCUCCUACCCCAGAGUUCACGACAUUGUUAUUAAAUCAUGUCUCCUUAUGAUGUAUAUUUGUUUGUGCUUCAUUUUCUUAAAAUUUCCUAUAUGGAUGAUAGUUUUUUAAUAACAUUUUAUUUCUAUGGCAUCAUAACAUUGCAUACCAGAAAAGUAAAUUGCAGUCAGUACAAUCAUGUCAGCUGAACAGAUUGCUUGCUAUGUUUCCGUCAUUCACCAUAAUUCCUUGAGUAUACAAGUUGGACAUAAGCAUAUGCAGUCAUAAUCUCAGUCAAAAGUUUAACCCACUCUCAUGAAGGCAAUAAGUUGGCCUUUCUGGGAAGGGUUCAUGAAUGAUAGAUUAUUUUUUUCAGCACACAAAGAUGGCAGCAGACUGGCCACCAAGUAAGGUGACAAAACAUGUGAAGGAGGGAACUCUGCCAGAUAGGUGUACCUGGAGUCUGCAUGAUGUUUGCACUUUUGGUUCAAAGGGGUGAAUGCACUAACAACCAGAAUAUUGACAUUAUCAUGUGAGCACCCCAAUGGCCAAUGCUCUGCAAAGAGUACAAGAGAAGACAGACCUCAAACUGCAGCGGUAGAAGGUGGUAUCCAGGGAGUGUCUAAUGAAGAUCAAAAACCUCUCUUGUGUGGGUGGUACGGAUGCAAAGCAUUGCCUGAAAAGAAUCAUGCGGCGAAUCUUGACCUACAAGGUUUUAUAACUCUUAAGGCCAAAGAGGAGAAAAGUGUGCUUUCAAGGGGCUUUCAAAGGUGCAGACAAUGAUAUGCAAAGCUGUACAGAAGAACAAUGGGUGCAUGGAGGCUUCAGAUAACAUCAUCGAAAAAAGCGGCAGCAGAAAGAGUUGGGGUAGAAAGCAGAGGAGAGAACCAAACUGAAUGCUAGCAUAUUUCAAGGAGGUGACAACUGUGUUUGUGUGCCCUGUGAAUUUUCUGGAAUUUACUGUACUGUUAUGGCAGAAUUGUGUAGCUACGUUUCCUCGUUGGAAUUUGGCGUGCUGAACUACUGUUUAUACAUUUUAUUCAUUUUUGGAAAAUCAUCUUGGAUUAUCCAGCUUUUUGCUGCGCUGUAUCAACCUCUGUAUACCAAACGAUUGUGUGCUAAUUCCCUCUCCCUCCCCCCAACCCCGCAACCAGUUCAUCACCUAUUUUCUGAUGGGAAAAAGAGACUUGCAAGAAACUGAAAUUAAAAACUGUGACAUCGUUAUUAUCCUCAUCUUCAGUUAAGGCCAGGCACCUGAGGUAAAAAAAAAAAUUUAUGUUUUAUGGGAUAGCACAGAUUUUUGUAGUCACCUUAAUUUAAAAAAAAUUUGGUUUGCACAUCUGUACUACACUAGUUGCCCCUCCGUAUUCGCGAAAAACACACUCUUCUUUCAAAAGGUUUUAGGAUACUUAACUGUUUCUUGAACCAGAGCCUGAUCUUCUAGUAUUGUACAUAGCUCUAUUUCUCUCUCUCUCCUCUUUUGAGUGUGAGAGAGAGACAUGAACUGACUUUUGUAUUACACCAAAGAAUGGCUUUCAGGUCUUGCAAUUAUUAUUACAUAGAUUUCUAGAAA